GGAAUAGCUCAAUCAGUAGAGCAGGAAACUCUUAAUCUUGAGGUCGUGGGUUCAAGCCCCACUUUGGGCA